rnacentral:tRNA from 1 species
AUUAGCUCAGUUGGCAGAGCACCUGACUUUUAAUCAGGGUGUCCGGGGUUCGAAUCCCCG